rnacentral:lncRNA from 1 species
GGUUUUUUCUUUUUCAAUAUUUAGAAAUUUACCUCCUCAGUAAAUAAAUGAGUAUCAAAGGAUAUGGACUGAAGAUGAAUUUUUAAUGCAUGAUCACAGAGAACAUAGCUUGACAUAACAUGUUGCUACAUGGCUUUAAUACAUUUUUUCUUUCUACAGAUGCUAGCCAAAUGAAAGUUCCAUGGUUAAGAGAUACAGAUUUAAGCAACAGUCAUGCAAAUCCAGCCUCAUUUGCACAGCUUCCAAAUGACUUCUGGCACAAUUUGAGAGAUGGUCUUUCUACUUAGAAUGCCUCAUGCAGAACCAGUAAUACAGGUAACACAACAGAGCAGGGACGCGGUGCCUCUGUACUCCAGUGGACAGCUCCGGGGUUUGCUCGUCGGGUGUCUACCACGAGAGGUCCCCACAGCCCCACGAGCGGCGCUGUCGCUCCGUGAAUGUUUGCUGCCGCCACUGAGGUUUCUCCUAAGGCGACCGCUGAAGGCACGUUAAGGCAAGGCUGGGCUCCCAGUCUGGCGGGCCAUCAGUCACAGUAGCGCCUGUGAUCUCCGGGAUGACACUUCAUCAGACUCGGGUGUCUAAAAUUAAGCACCUAGAUAUGAGACUUGAUUUGGACAAUCGCCAACCACAGGAAGUUUAACUCGGGCAAAUGCCGGGUUGUGCACCUGGGACAGGGCAACCCUGGAUCUGUGUACCGACUGGGAGACAAGAGGCUGGAGAGCAGCCCCACAGGAAGGGAUCUGCGUGUUCUGGGUGACAGCAGCUGGACACGAGCCAGCAGUGUGCCCUGCGGCCCAAAGGACCAACCAUGCCCUGGGGGGGCCAAGUUCAGGGAGCGUUUGGACAGUGCUCUCAGAUACAGGGUUUGGAUUUGGGGUGGUCCUGUGUGGAGCCAGCGGUUGAACUCAAUAAUCCUUGUGAGUCCCUUCCAACUAGGUAUAUUCUAUGACUCUAUGAUUUAUUUUUCCCCUCCCUAAAUGAAUUUAUUCCCACUGGGAAUUACAACAUGUUGCAGGAAAACACAGAGCAGAAAACAAAGUCUGUUUGUCCAUCAAAGUGUUCGCUUGGGUUUGGAGUUCCUUUAGAUGACAAGAUGUUUAAAACCAUGGUAUUUGCAAGGUCCUAGCUUUGUGUUUGAAGCUGUGUGUCUCUGCAUUUCAAAAACCAAAGUUAUAUAGGAAAUUGUUCUUCCAAUAGAAAGUUGCAAAUGAACUCACAAAACCAGAACCAGAAAAAAAAUGCCACUGACCAAAUAUUUGUAAUCAUUAAAAAAAUAUGCUCUGUCUCUGAUGCGACCUCAAGUAAACCCAGCUACUGUUACUUCUCCCCAGAGCUGCUGUUGCAAUUAAGAUGGAAGUCUAAACUUCUUUGUGCCAGUGGGUGCCCUUAGCAAGCAGGCAAGGACUUUCCACGUGGUGCUUGCCAUGAUUUUACUGAAGUGUAUUCUGAGCGGCGUUUUGGUAAGCAUCCAGAUGACUUCAGGCAUGGGUAU